CUCUUACACACUAUCGCUCACUGACCCAUACUCACUCUCAAUGACAAAGUUUUCCUACUCUAUACACACAUGCACUCACUGGCUCAUACAUAGGCAUAUACAAACACACUGGGUCAUAGACACACAAACACUGGCUUACACAUACUUGCUGACACAGAAACACACUGGCUCAUAUACAAACACUCACUUGCUCAUAUGCACACAUUCAUACCCACUCACUAGCUCAUAUACUAAAUACACAAACACACAAACACAUACGCAGACUGACUUACAUACACACACACACACACAAUUGCUCUUACACACUCACUCACUGGCUCACACACAUUGGCUCUUAUACACACACACUGACUCCUAUACUUACUCGCUCACUGGCUCUUACACACAGACACACAGACACACACACGUUCAUAUACAUACAUACACACUUACUGUUUCUUACCAGAGGUCCCACCAGGUGUUGCUGCUCUAUUGAACCCUUCUCUCUUCACAGCACUUGGCUGCUGGGAUAUGAUGUCAUGUAUCCCAGCAGCCUUUAGCUCAUAACGCGACUGUCCGCAGAGACUCCUAGCUGCACACAUUUUCUUCCCAACUCACUUGGCGUGUACCGACACCAGAGUACAACAGCCGACUAAAUGGUUCACAUGGGCAUUCUGCAUGGUUACAGAGAGUGGCCGGCGGCAGAGGGGUACUCUGUUCCCACCUCCUGCCAGUCUCUUCCUUUGGUUCCUUUGGCUGAAGCGCCCAAUGGAGGCUGCCUGUGCCGGCCCUGUCAUUAAACUUCAAUAAAUAUGUUUGGAAAUCCGUCUGUGUAAAUAAGAUACAUUGUUCUUGUGCUAAAUUACAUCUUAGUUGUAUAAAAUGUUAUUAAUAAGUCACUUAAAAUUCCUCAGAGCAGCCUGCCCCUGGCAACAUUCCUACAAACACAGCUAAAAUGAAAGUGCCCCUAUUGGUUAAUUUAAAAUGUUAGGAGGUUUGCACAAAUAGUGAGGACGUUUAAAGAUUAGCAGAGAUCAGCUGGUGAAAGGUCACAUUUUACGUGUGUAGGAUAUUUGGAAAGGAUGGCUGAAUUAUAGUUCACAGAUGGGUUUCUUAAAGGAACACUAUAGUCACCUAAAUUACUUUAGC